CCUACGGGUGGCAGCAGUGGGGAAUAUUGCUCAAUGGGGGAAACCCUGAAGCAGCAACGCCGCGUGGAGGAUGAAGGUUUUCGGAUUGUAAACUCCUUUUGAUAGAGAAGAUAAUGACGGUAUCUAACGAAUAAGCAACGGCCAACUCCGUGACAGCAGCCGCGGUAAUACGGAGGGUGCAAGCGUUAUUCGGAAUUACUGGGGGUAAAGAGGACGUAGGCGGGAUAGCAAGUCAGAUGUGAAAUCCUAUGGCUUAACCAUAGAACUGCAUUUGAUACUGGUAUUCUAGAGUAUGGGAGAGGUAGGUGGAAUUCUUGGUGUAGGGGUGAAAUGCGUAGAGAUCAAGAGGAAUACUGAUUGCGAAGGCAGCCUGCUAGAACAUAACUGACGCUGAUGCGCGAAAGCGUGGGGAGCAAACAGGAUUAGAUACCCCUGUAGUC
rnacentral:rRNA from 1 species